CCCGUAAUCCGGGUUGCGGACAGUGUCUGGUGGGUAGUUUGACUGGGGCGGUCUCCUCCUAAAGAGUAACGGAGGAGCACGAAGGUUGGCUAAUCCUGGUCGGACAUCAGGAGGUUAGUGCAAUGGCAUAAGCCAGCUUGACUGCGAGCGUGACGGCGCGAGCAGGUGCGAAAGCAGGUCAUAGUGAUCCGGUGGUUCUGAAUGGAAGGGCCAUCGCUCAACGGAUAAAAGGUACUCCGGGGAUAACAGGCUGAUACCGCCCAAGAGUUCAUAUCGACGGCGGUGUUUGGCACCUCGAUGUCGGCUCAUCACAUCCUGGGGCUGAAGUAGGUCCCAAGGGUAUGGCUGUUCGCCAUUUAAAGUGGUACGCGAGCUGGGUUUAGAACGUCGUGAGACAGUUCGGUCCCUAUCUGCCGUGGGCGCUGGAGAACUGAGGGGGGCUGCUCCUAGUACGAGAGGACCGGAGUGGACGCAUCACUGGUGUUCGGGUUGUCAUGCCAAUGGCACUGCCCGGUAGCUAAAUGCGGAAGAGAUAAGUGCUGAAAGCAUCUAAGCACGAAACUUGCCCCGAGAUGAGUUCUCCCUGACUCCUUGAGAGUCCUGAAGGAACGUUGAAGACGACGACGUUGAUAGGCCGGGUGUGUAAGCGCAGCGAUGCGUUGAGCUAACCGGUACUAAUGAACCGUGAGGCUUAACCUU
rnacentral:rRNA from 1 species